rnacentral:rRNA from 1 species
UACGUAGGGUGCGAGCGUUGUCCGGAAUUAUUGGGCGUAAAGGGCUCGUAGGCGGCCAACUAAGUCAGACGUGAAAUCCCCAGGCUCAACCUGGGAACUGCGUCUGAUACUGGAUGGCUUGAAUCCGGGAGAGGGAUGCAGAAUUCCAGGUGUAGCGGUGAAAUGCGUAGAUAUCUGGAGGAACACCGGUGGCGAAGGCGGCAUCCUGGACCGGCACUGACACUGAGGAGCGAAAGCCAGGGGAGCAAACGGG